rnacentral:misc_RNA from 1 species
CUAUCGGAUCGUUUUAGAAACAUCAGUGGCCAACAGAUCGCCAGAUCGUUGAGCUGCAUUGGCGGGAUUUCGCCGUCUUCGUUUCUCUUUCUUCGCGGACGAACACGCGCUGGGCCUGCAACGGCAGGAUCCAGGGUCCUUAACGGGAUGUGCGUUAGGGGCUUGUAGCUCAGUUGGUUAGAGCGCGCGCUUGAUAAGCGUGAGGUCGGAAGUUCAAGUCUUCCCAGGCCCACCACUUUCAUCGAGUGAGCAUUCGUCUUCUGGUUACGGGGCCAUAGCUCAGCUGGGAGAGCGCGUGCUUUGCAAGCAUGAGGUCGUCGGUUCGAUCCCGUCUGGCUCCACCAGAUGGUUUGAUCACCGAGAUCUUGACCGUCGUCCGCGAAACAUCACUUCGCAUCCUGCUAGUCUGGAUAGACAGCAGUUUGCGUGUUUUCUGACAUCGUAAAGAGGAGAUCGAUCCGAGUUGGGUCGUGCAGCAUAUCGUUGCGCGAGCCUUCAUUAUCUCCGGAUCAUUUCGGCGCUCGCUUCCAGCCGUGAGGUUGGAUGCGGGUUGUAAAUGAUCCUUUUAGCGAAGCUUGACCGCCUCGCUAUCGGAACGAUCUUACGAAGCAAGCUGGUCUUUCUAGUCAAUGUCCGGCUGCGGAUAGCGUUCAUCGAGGGCGCGUGCCGCAAGGCAAUUCUGCAGACAACAUUCUGCCGAGUGUGUGGACAUUGAUAAUGAGAGCAAUCAAGUGCCUUAAGGGUGUUCGGUGGAUGCCUUGGCGCUGAGAGGCGAUGAAGGACGUGCUACGCUGCGAUAAGCCGUGGAG